UGAACUUGAAGUUAAGUGAAACGCGAGAAAUGAACGCACGUUUCUGGUAUACUUUUUUUUCUCAGUCCAGACGUGGCUUUUUAAAUCCUAAUUCUGUGCUAAAUAAGCUUCGAAAUAUUCCGUCGAAAUUACCUUCUCACGGAAAUCAUUGUAACAUUAUGCAAGGUCCAGGUACAACAGGAGAAGCAAUGUAUUAUCCACGAUCAGAAUACAAAUCUACAAGACAUUAUCAAGGACAAGUGAAAGCAGUUAUCUUUGAUUGGGCAGGAACUGUUGUGGAUUGUGGUGUUUUAGCUCCUGCACUUACUUUCUGUGAGCUUUUCAAGAAUGAAGGUGUUUGUAUCACAGAGGAGGAGGCCAGAGGACCAAUGGGAGCUCACAAGCGUGUGCAUAUUAAAAAAAUUUUGGAGAAUGCUUCUGUCCAACAGCGAUGGAUUAAAGUCCAUGGGAAAGCUGCAACUGAGGAAGAUAUUGAUAGAAUGUACAAAAAGUUUUCCCCAACUGUCUUGUCCUGUCUUCACAAGUAUUCUAAUAUUAUUGAUGGAGUAGUAGACACUGUGAAGGAACUUAGAAGAGCUCAUGGAAUAAAGAUUGGAUCAACCACAGGCUUCCCAAAGGAGAUCCUACAGACAUUACUGAGGACUUCAGAAAGUCAGGGAUAUGUACCAGAAGCUAAUGUUGCUGCUGAUGAAGUACCAGAAGCAAGACCUUGUCCUUAUAUGGUCUGGACAUGUGCCAUGAGAUUGGGAGUACACCCAAUAGAGGCCAUCAUCAAAUUUCCUUCCUAGUGUUCAAGCUAAUCCAAAUUCAUUUUAAACCUUGAGUGAAAAGCAGAUGUAAGAACAUGUUCCUUAUUGACAAAGGCAGCUUCAAAGUUCUUCUCAAUUCCUGAAAUCAAAGCAUUAACAAGUAGCUUGCAAGUCUGGAGUGAUAUAUCACAAAGAUCUUUCAGUUUUGUCAACAUGCAGUUGAUGAUACUGUCGAUGGGAUUAGGGAAGGUCUCUCUGCUGGUUGCUGGACUAUUGGGGUAGCUAAAACUAGUAAUUAUGUGGGACUAACUGAACAAC
rnacentral:misc_RNA from 1 species